GAAUUCGUGUAAAUUAUUAUUAUGUUAGGAUAGAAUAGAAAUCAUUUACUAUUGGUAGGUAUGAUCCCAUUUUCAACUUUUGUUGCCUGUUUGGUUUGUUGGUUUGGUUCCGCUCAGCGGCGUCGCUAGUUCGCUGCUGGAUCCGCUAGUUUAACUUGGCCUCGUUCUCCCUGAGCCAGAAUCCAGAGGCUCCGUCCUUCGGCUAGGCGAGAUCACGUGUCUGAAUCAACCAACCAAACCCUAACCCUUGCAGAGGCUGCGGAUGAAGCCAUCCACCGCCGGCGACGCCUCUGCGGCGGCGGCGGCGUCCUCUUCGGGGCCCUCUACCUCCGCGUCGACAUCCGCGUCCACGUCUACCGCGGACGCCACCCACUACAUCGCCAAGCGGGUGCUCCGGGGAAGCGCCGUGCUCCACGUCGCCGAGGGCUGCUUCCGCUCGCCCGACUCCGCGGACGUCGUCCUCGCCAAGGAAACUUCACUGGAGUUGGUUGCUGUUGGUGAUGAUGGUGUUUUACAGUCAAUAUGUGAACAAGACAUUUUUGGGAUUAUAAAAGAUAUUGGUGUAUUGCAAUGGCACUCUAGACAUAAUGGUUUAAUUCCACAGAUAGAAUGCAAAGAUCUUCUGGUUGUCCUUUCAGAUUCUGGAAAGCUUUCUCUUCUUUACUUUUGUUCUGAGAUGCACAGGUUCUUCGCAAUUGCCAAUAUUGAGUUAUCGAAACCAGGAAAUCUGAGGCAUCAUCUGGGAAGAAUUUUAGCGAUAGAUCGAGAAUCUAAUUUCGUUGCUGUCAGUUCAUAUGAGGAUAAGUUUGCCCUUAUACAUGUUUCUGUUUCCCAGAGUGGUUCUGGCAGCGGUAUUAUUUCUGAGAAGAAAUAUUUUUAUCCACCAGAAAAUGAAGAUGACGCAAGGAUCAUAACUUCGUCUAGGACCAGCAUCCGUGGUACAAUUUGGACAAUGCGCUUCAUAUCUGUGCCCCAAGAUGAAGAAUACUAUCCAGUUCUGGCAAUGAUAAUUAACAGGAAAGGCUCUGAUGUGAAUGACUUGUCGUUAUUUGGAUAUGACUCCAGCAGCUGUGUUAUCAACCACCUCUCUAGUUAUUCAGAAAUUGGACCUUUGGUACUUGACGUAUCAGAAAUUCCUGAAACGUUUGGCUUUGCACUUCUGUUGCGUGUUGGUGAUGCUUUAUUGUUGGAUCUUAGAAAUCCAACAAAUGUCUGCUGUAUCCAAAGAGUCAGCUUGACGACUAACCUGAUUGGAGAGCCAAUCACUGUUGAAGAUCCCUGUCCAGGAUUAGAUGUUGAUGAUGAUGUGGCUGCUUGUGCUUUGCUAGAAUUGAGAGAUUCUGGUAAUAACAUAAUGAAGGAUGAUGGUUAUAUGGACAUUGAUGGUGUUGACAGCAGAAGUAAUGUGAAACCAAGGAUCGUUUGCUCGUGGAGCUGGGAGCCACCUGACCCUGUCAGGCGAGGAUGUGCAAGGCUUCUAUUUUGUUUGGAUGAUGGAGAAUUUCAUAUUUUGGAAUUUACUUUGGAUGUUGAAGGGGCGAAGCUGUACACAUUUGAAUAUAUUGAUAGGACUUUGCCUUGUAGACCUCUUUUUUGGAUGAAAAACAGAAUGAUAAUAGGGUUUGUAGAGAUGGGGGACGGCAUGAUUUUUAAACUUGGUCACCGCAGGUUGCUUCAUAAAAGCACUAUUCAGAAUGUAGCACCAAUAUUGGAUCUAGCAAUUGCUGAUUACCAUGGUGAGAAACAGGACCAGAUGUUUGCAUGUUGUGGAAUGUCCCCUGAGGGCUCUCUUCGAGUUUUAAGGAAUGGUGUCAAUGUGGACAGACUUCUGAAAACUGAAGCUAUUUACCAGGGUGUCACUGGUUUGUGGACUUUGAGAAUGAAGGCAACUGAUGCCUACCAUUCUUUUCUUGUGUUGUCAUUUGUGGAGGAAACCAGAAUACUGUCAGUAGGACUAAGUUUUAAUGACAUCAGUGAUGCCGUGGGAUUCCAGCCUGAUGUUUGCACUUUAGCAUGUGGUUUGGUGGCUGAUAAUCUGCUAGUUCAAAUUUACAGCAAAGGUGUUAAGGUCUGUUUGCCUACAGUAUACGCUCACCCUGAAGGUGCCCCUUUAACUUCUCCAAUUUGCACUGACUGGUAUCCUGCUAUCACUAUCAGUGUUGGUGCUGUAGGACAUAAUAUUGUUGUUGUUGCUACAUCUAAUCCUUGUUGCUUAUAUGUCCUUGGUGUUAGAUCAUCAUCUUCUUACCAGUACGAGUUGUAUGCAACACAUCAUGUGCAAUUGCAGUAUGAAGUAUCAUGCAUAUCAAUCCCACAAGAGGAUUGUAUACAUGAUAAUGUAUCUUUCAGCUGUGGAGAGGGUGAUGACAUUUGUAAGAACCCCCCUCCUAAAGUUAAUGUUUGCAAGUUUGCUGUUAUUGGAACUCAUAGACCUUCAGUGGAAAUCAUCUCCUUGGAACCUGGAGAAGCAUUAAGGGUAUUAACUAUUGGGACUGUAUCUGUGAAUAAUGCACUUGGCGCACCUAUGAGUGGUUGUAUACCUGAAAAUGUCAGGUUUGUUGCGGCUGAGAGGUUUUACAUUCUUGCAGGCUUGAGAAACGGAAUGCUACUCAGAUUUGAGUCAGAAACACGUGAUUAUCUCCCUGGUUUUCUCUACAAGGACUCUUCUAUUCCUUCUGUUAAUACAUUCCUUCAGUUGAUUUCGAUACGGCGUAUUGGAAUUACUCCUGUACUGUUAGUGCCAAUACAUGAUUCAGCUAAUGCUGACAUCAUUGUUCUCAGUGAUAGACCUUGGCUAUUACAUGCAGCAAGACAUAGCCUGGCAUAUUCGUCCAUUUCAUUUCUUUCUGCUUCUCAUGUCACACCUGUUUCAUCUGUUGAUUGCCCCAAUGGUCUACUGUUUGUUGCUGAGAGCUGUUUGCAUUUGGUUGAACUGGUUCAUGGGAAGCGAUUGAAUGCACAAAAGUUUUCAAUUGGAGGGACUCCAAGGAAAGUGCUAUACCAUAAUGAAAGCAGAACACUGUUGGUACUGAGAACUGGGCUAAAUGGUGCAUCGUCUUCUUCAGAUGUUGUACAAGUAGAUCCACAAAAUGGGGUAUUACUUUCCAGAUAUAAAUGUGAACCUGGCGAAACAGCGAAAUGCAUGCAAAUUGCAAAAAUAGGAAAUGAUCAAGUUUUAAUUGUUGGGACCACUAAGUCUGCUGGACGGCCGAUGAUGUCAAAUGGUGAAGCAGAAAGCAUCAAGGGACGCCUGAUUGUUUUAAGCUUGGAGGCCGUUGAAAGUCCUCGUGAGAGCAGUUCGUUUAUUCCAACUUUUAGUUUUAAUCCCUCUUCACAUUCUGGUUCUCCUUUCCACGAGAUUGUUGGAUAUACAACUGAGGAAUUUUCUAGUAACAGCAUGUGCAGCAGUCCUGAUGAGUUUAGCUGCAACCAGAUCCAAGCUGAACAAAUGACAGGGCAAUUGAGAUCAUUGACUCAAUAUAUAUUGAAUGGCGCAGUUCUUGCUCUGUGUCCCUAUCUAGAUCGUUAUGUGUUGGCAGCUGCUGGUAAUAUGGUAUGAUGCCUAUAUGCUGUUUUUACUAUAUUUUCUUUAAAAAAAUUCCUUAAAGGGAGCUGAACUCUCCUAUGACAAAUUAUCUAAAAGGGAAUUAGUAAUGACAGAAUAGUGGCUAAGGCCCUUAGUGGGCUUGCCCAGUAUGGGCAUAGGGUUUUGUACUGUGCCAUCAGAUUUUGGGCCCAGCUGCAUAAUGAUUGUUUCUUUGACAGGCAAGGUUUUCCCCUGACGGAUAUGUUUCUAUAAACCCCCCGGGAUCUUGCCUAUAUCUGUGUACCAUACCCACUGCAACCAAUCAAUCCAGUAUAGAUGAUGUUGCCUAUAUUUGUAUACCUUGCCCAUCACAAUCAAUUAAUCUACUAUAUUUCACGAGUCUGAAAUGGCCAGUGAUUCUUCUGCUGCCCUCACAUGCCUUUGCGGCUGCACAUCCCUUUCCUACGUGUCUCCGUGGCAGCGCCCUUUCCCGCACGAAGUCAACAUUUAUGUUGGAGAAUAAGGAUGUUGUGUGUCCUUGCCCUCAUGAUCUUUGGACAUUAUCAAAUGAGAUGCCCAGAUUUAUGGCUUAGCUUCUUAAUGCAAUAGUAAUAUAAUAUGCAGCUCUCAUUGUGUUCAUUGUUCAAUUGCAAAGAAGGAACAAGUCUAUUUUGGCCAUCAAACUAUAGCCCAGAUUUAUGUAUUUGGUUUCACAAAUGAAAAUCCCCACAGAAUAAAAAAGUGUGCUGUUGGUAGGACACGAUUUACAAUAACUUGCCUGAAGACAUUUGCAUCACGAAUUGCUGUUGGUGAUUGUCGUGAUGGUGUUCUCUUCUAUUCUUAUAAUGAGAGUCAUAGGAAGUUGGAAUUGGUCUAUUCUGAUCCUGCUCAUAGAUUGGUGGGUGAUAUUGCUCUUUUAAAUUGUGAAACUGCUGUGGUAUCAGAUCGACGUGGGAGCAUAUCUGUAUUAUCAUGCACCAGAUUGGAAGUUUCAGAAAGUCCACAGAAGAACUUAGCCGUGAAUUGUUCAUUUUAUAUGGGUGAAACAGCCAUGAGCAUUCAGAAGGCUGCAUUCAGGUAUCGGCUUCCAAUUGAUGAUGAUACUGACCCGGUGCUUGAGACAGUUUACAACUGUAUCGUGGCAAGUACCAUGUUGGGGAGUCUCUUUGUUAUGAUUCCACUUUCAAGUGAGGAGCAUCAGCUUUUGCAAGAUGUCCAAGAAAAACUCUCAGUACACCCAUUAACUGCACCGGUCCUGGGAAAUGAUCAUGCAGAGUUCCGUCAGCGUGGUACCCCUUCGGUAGUGCCUCCCAUUCUUGACGGUGAUAUGCUUGUGCAAUUCUUGGAGCUCACCGGUGAACAACAGCAAGCCAUCCUUACUCAUGCUUUGCCAGGGAAGGGGCAACAUAGGCCCCUCUCGGUUUUCCAGGUUUUGCAAACAUUAGAGCGCGUCCAUUACGCUCUUAACUGAGGCUUUCUUCAAUCACAGUUACUACAAGGUUUGGAUAUUAGAGCUGGUUGACCUUCAUUGUUUGAGAUGCCGUCAGAGCUGAGGUUUUAGUGACCUUCGCAAUCUAGACGGCCGAUUCCAAGUCUGCCAUGAUAUUUAUCAGAACGUUUGAUUGAUGAUGCAACUGGAGCUUGAUACUGGGAAGUCUCAUGGUGGCGAGUAUCCCGUGGAGGCACCAGAUUCGUCGAACCUCCUGUGUAUAUACAGUCGGCCGCUUUUGGUAGACUGUUGUAUGGCGCAUUCUGCAUAGAAACGAAUAUUCUUUCCGUUUGUUUCAAUAGAUAAUGUAAUGUUUCUUACGUCAGCUGGUCGGAUGCUCAACGAGAAAUAAGGGAAACAAUGAAUUGCAUUGGCCGUCCUGCUCUA